rnacentral:misc_RNA from 1 species
UACAGAGGGUGCAAGCGUUAAUCGGACUGACUGGGCGUAAAGGGCGCGUAGGUGGUAUGUUAAGUCGGAUGUGAAAUUCCUGGGCUCAACCUAGGGCGGUCAUUCGAUACUGGCAUACUUGAGUACAGUAGAGGGCAGUGGAAUUUCCGGUGUAGCGGUGAAAUGCGUAGAGAUCGGAAGGAACACCAGUGGCGAAGGCGACUGUCUGGACUGAAACUGACACUGAGGCGCGAAAGCGUGGGUAGCGAACAGG